GCCAGUGUGAUAUAGUGGUUUGAGUCCUGGACUACAACUCCGGAGAUCAAGGUUCGAUUCCCCACUCAGGGA